CCAAGAAUUACAAUAACUAUUAGGCUACCAUAGGCCUUGUUAUCGCGGCUUUUGGGCCUUAAAUCGGAAAAAUCCAUUCGAGAAGGAGCUUGGACCACCCCCAUUGUUUACGAUUACAAAUACAGUUAUUUAUGUUAAAUUUUGCAUUAUGAUCAGCUGUUUUGGGAUGCAUUCUGUCGUUCUUAUUUGGACAUUGUUUGGACAUCUUUUUUUUAAUAAAUUGUUUCAUGAAUAAUGUAGAAUAAUGUACAUAUUUAAUGACAAAGAGCAUCUCCGAGCCAAACGAAAGGAGAGGGCCAGACGAAGAAGGACUUGUCGCCCCUGGCUAAGGGCUCCGGCUCGCAUCUACAAUGUUGUCAAGGAACACUUCCGGAGGUUUAGGAGACGAAUUUUGUAUAUUAGACAUGUUCCGGAAUCGGAGUAUGACCGCCAGUGGGCGCUCUACGGCAACAACAACACAAUGUCAAAGCUUCUCUUAUGUCCGAUAACUGUUGUUGUUAUAUUCGUGUAUUCGCUAGCAUUCUAUCUCUUUACAUACCUAGGAAUGGGAAUAGUUCCUCUCCCUUUCUUUUUCAGCGUCUGGGCAUUCUUAGUUGAGCUAGUUAUAAAUGUGUCAUUGUUUAUAGUUCAAUCGUUGCAAAAUGUGUUAACUUUUGGAGUGUUUGAAACGAUGGUUAUUUCCCCUGUCGUCUUGAUGGCAAGCUUCUACAAGUGUGUCCGGGCGACUUCUUUAGAAGAUUUAGCCGAGAUGAUAGAUGGCGUCUAUAUCCAAUGGAUGGAUAGAUGAAGAAUUCAUGAAUAGAAGCAUGAAAAAAGACAAAACGGACUGGCUUGAGUGGAUGAAUGGAUUAAAUAAGCAAUCGAUUUUUAUUUUUAAGCCCAUUCAUUCAUAAAAGCAUUCCCAAAGGUUUUAUGGCUCACUGAAGUUGAAGCCGUGUUACCUUAUAAUUGUAAACACUGUAAAACAAAGACUACAUCUAAAACAAGGAAAGCAGCUAGGUAUGUAGACCUAAAACAAGGCAUAUCCCUAAAUUAAAUAAGACAAUUCAUCUUAUAUCUAAUUCAAGGAGCGCAGCUAGAUCUAGAUGUAAAUGCAAUUCCAUUGAGAUAUGUAACAAGGAAUGCAGACAUAUCUAGAUGUAAAAAAAAAGAAAUGCAGAUACAUCUAGAUGUAAAAAAAAGAAAUGCAGAUACAUCUAGAUGUAAAAAAAAGAAAUGCAGACACAUCUAGAUGUAAACAAGGAAUGCAGAUACAUCUAGAUGUAAAAAAAGGAAUGCAGACACAUCUAGAUGUAAACAAGGAAUGCAGACACAUCUAGAUGUAAAAAAAGGAAUGCAGACACAUCUAGAUGUAAACAAGGAAUGCAGACACAUCUAGAUGUAAAAAAGGAAUGCAGACACAUCUAGAUGUAAACAAGGAAUGCAGAUACAUCUAGAUGUAA